AAUCAAAAAAAUUCUGAUGCCAUAACCUUCUUUGCUGAUCGUUGUGACUUCACCUGCUUUGGAACUGAACAACAAGCUUCGGUCCACUGCGAAUUACUUGUAACUUUGCAUGUGUUCUCACGGCAGAUGUACCGACUUGAGGAAAAAAAUUUGGAGCUAGUAGUGCUAUUUCUUGUGAUUCACGUUUUCGACUUUCAAUGAGCAAACAUUUUCAAAAACAUAAAUACCAUGAAAACAUGCCAAAAAGAUGAAUAAGCCAUGCGGGAAACCUGUGGACGAACGACUACUGUUGGAAAAACUCUUUCAAAAUGCGAUAUGCGAUAAAUAUGUUUUUACGAAAUUUUUUUAUUAAUUAUUGCUUAGGUAUGUGAAGUAUUAAAGCACUUUUGACUUUAAUGAAAUAUAAA